rnacentral:lncRNA from 1 species
AUCUCGGAAAUGAUGCAUCCUAUCGAGGUGCAUGGAGAGAAUCUUUUAUGUAUAAUUUUUAAUGCUCUUGAAGAAUUCGGUCUCACAUUUUUGAAAAUCGUAAAGCGUCCAUCUUUUUUUCGAGAUAAAAUCCUCUACGAAUCCUCAUAUCUUCAUCCCGUCGCUAUCACAACGAUUCAUAUGCCAAAUUAUUGCAAUAUUCUAACUAGUUCCCUGUGCUAAAUAUCAUAAAAAAUGAAAAAAACAGUUUUCUUUAAAUAACGCAAAAAAUACAAUUUUGGUUGCUCCUUUCACAUCUUAUAAUUCGGAAACAAAGCAGACGU